CAAUAGCGUAUAUUAAAGUUGUUGCAGUUAAAACGCUCGUAGUCGGAUUUCGGGGCCUGCCUGCCGGUCUGCCGAUGGGUAUGCACUGGCAGGCGCGUCCUUCCUUCCGAAGACUGUCCCUACUCUUAACUGAGCGGGGUCGGGAGACGGAUCGUUUACUUUGAAAAAUACAGAGUGUUUCAAGCAGGCAGCUCGCUCUUGCAUGGAUUAGCAUGGGAUAAUGAAAUAGGACUUUGGUGCUAUUUUGUUGGUUUCGAACACCGAAGUAAUGAUUAACAGGGACAGUCAGGGGGCACUCGUAUUCCGCCGAGAGAGGUGAAAUUCUCAGACCAGCGGAAGACGAACCACUGCGAAAGCAUUUUGCCAGGGGAUGUUUUCACUGAUCAAGAACGAAAGUUAGGGGAUCGAAGACGAUCAGAUACCGU
rnacentral:rRNA from 1 species